rnacentral:rRNA from 1 species
AUUGAACGCUGGCGGCAGGCCUAACACAUGCAAGUCGAGCGGAUGAAGGGAGCUUGCUCCUGGAUUCAGCGGCGGACGGGUGAGUAAUGCCUAGGAAUCUGCCUGGUAGUGGGGGAUAACGUCCGGAAACGGGCGCUAAUACCGCAUACGUCCUGAGGGAGAAAGUGGGGGAUCUUCGGACCUCACGCUAUCAGAUGAGCCUAGGUCGGAUUAGCUAGUUGGUGGGGUAAAGGCCUACCAAGGCGACGAUCCGUAACUGGUCUGAGAGGAUGAUCAGUCACACUGAAAUUGAGACACGGUCCAGACUCCUACGGGAGGCAGCGGUGGGGAAUAUUGGACAUUGGGCGAAAGCCUGAUCAGCCAUGCCGCGUGUGUGAAGAAGGUCUUCGGAUUGUAAAGCACUUUAAGUUGGGAGGAAGGGCAGUAAGUUAAUACCUUGCUGUUUUGACGUUACCAACAGAAUAAGCACCGGCUAACUUCGUG